AUUGUGAGCAUCCCCUGCCAUGCCAUGCCAUGAUGUUCUGCCUUGGAGUGAGCUGAGCAUGCGAGGACUGAGGCUACUGAAAUCUAAAGACUCAACAGCAGGAUGAAAAUUUCGGCCUUGCUUUUCAUCUCAGCCACACAAAGAUGUUAUGAAGAGCUGCUCUGAACCCAUCCUGUUUGUGAAAACAACCUCCCCAAAGGAGCACGGACCAUUGUUGUUCUCCUCCGUUCCUGUCAGUAAUUGAUUCAGGAAGCUUUCUUGAAGAAUCAGUUCUUCUGCUUUAUUAUCACUUCUGCCGAAUGUUGCGCAGGGAUUGUCAAAAAUUUGAAUGUAAUAAAAUGAAUAACAUUACAUCUAUAAUGAAUAUAAUUUAGGCCUUCAGACUGUAGACUUUUCAGUGGUAUAGAUGUACCUUUUGAACAUCAAUGAUAAUGACAUUACAGGUAUAAAAAUAUAGGAAAUAGACUGAAAUGACCUUUGUCCUGUAAUACUCGUGUGGCAACUGAGAAGCCUGGGGAAUUUGCAAUAAACCGAGGACUGCAGGAGAACAUGGAUGUGAGUGUGGGAAGCAAGGUGUGUCUUCUGUGUAGCAACGCCUGGUCUCACGUUUGCUAUGACUGCAGAUGUUGCCGCCCUCUCCCCAAGCUGAGAUUUUAUGGCCACACAGAAGUGUGAAUUCCUACAUUUAAUUACAACAUAUGGUUUUUGCCAUUUUCCCAUCAAAAGUUUGAGUUUCUUUCUUAGUCCUUUAAUUCUGGAUGCGGCCGGCUACCUUGCUUUGGGUGAAGGGACGUGAGAAAACGCGGAGCAGAGGCGAGAAGAACACUGCACACCUUCUUACCACCCUGCGAACGAGCCUCCCAGGGGAUGAGCGGCCAUGUGAGAAGGGGCUCGAGCACCACAGCUUCCUGGACUAUCGCUGCAGACGCGAGGAAGAGACAACUUUAGAUCCAGCAGCCCCACAGGAGCUGGUCUAACCCAGAAGCAGGAGCCAGAUCACCCACAACAUUGUGAGAUGAUGUAAAUGAUUGUUGUUUUAAGGUACUAAACUUUGUGGUGUUCUGAUGUGAGGCAAAAGCGAAUGGCCUCGCCUAGCUAGUUGAGGAAGCUUGGAGAGGGGGAGCAAGCUGCCUGGGAGAGGGACCUGGAUUACCAUUGUUCAACUUAAGGGUCUUGAAUGUUUGGCUAGAGGCAGGGGAACCCUAAGGAGAGAAAAGUACAGAAAAAGGGGUAAGGGCAUACGUAAAACGAAGUCCACUCUUCCUCACUAUUGACCUUGUUAUAGCUUCAAGAAGAAACAUUGGAACGUGAGUGUUUUAUGUCCAGUGUUGGAAUUUCGCUGUAACUUGUACAAUGCAAAGUGAUCUGACACCCUUAUUUACUUUUUUAUUUAAUGGGCCAUUGAGUUUCAUCUUGACCCAGAACUCUGAGUCUGAGUAGGCUGAGAGGCCUUUUCUGCAGUUGGGAAACAUCAGAAGCAGAGAGCAGAAGCCGUGUCCCUGAGUACCCUGCCAGUCUCCUGCAACCUACUGCAACACUGUACUGUGUUAAAAACACCAGACUCUAGUGCUCUAACUUAGAACUAUAACCAGUUUGGUAACGGGCGUUGUCCCUCCACUGUGGAGUAGUAACUGAAUGCAUGUCUGCUGUCUGUAGGGACUGAGGUUUCCUAGAGCACGAAUCUUCUUUUAUCCAUUCAUUCUUUUAUUUGUGCGGAAAAUGUUCAUUGUUUUACCACGGUGCAUGCCUGAUUUCAUGGAUGGUGCUAUUUAAGCAGAAGAGAAAAGAAACAACAUACA